rnacentral:rRNA from 1 species
AUUGAACGCUGGCGGCAUGCCUUACACAUGCAAGUCGAACGGCAGCACGGGGCAACCUGGUGGCGAGUGGCGAACGGGUGAGUAAUGCAUCGGAACGUACCUUUCAGUGGGGGAUAACGUAGCGAAAGUCACGCUAAUACCGCAUAUUCUGUGAGCAGGAGAGCAGGGGAUCGCAAGACCUUGCGCUGUUUGAGCGGCCGAGUUCGGAUUAGCUAGAUGGUGAGGUAAAGGUUCACCAAGGCGACGAUCUGUAGUGGGUAUGAGAGGAUGAUCCGCAAAACUGGAACUGAGACACGGUCCAGACUCCUACGGGAGGCAGCAGUGGGGAAUUUUGGAAAAUGGGGGCAACCCUGAUCCAGCCAUGCCGCGUGAGUGAAGAAGGCCUUCGGGUUGUAAAGCUCUUUCGGCCGGGAAGAAAUCGCACGGGCUAAUACCCUGUGUGGAUGACGGUACCGGAAUAAGAAGCACCGGCUAACUACGUGCCAGCCGCCGCUGUAAAAC